AGUGAACGCUGGGGGAGGCCUAACACAUGCAAGUCGAACGGCAGCACAGUAAGAGCUUGCUCUUACGGGUGGCGAGUGGCGGACGGGUGAGGAAUACAUCGGAAUCUACUUUUUCGUGGGGGAUAACGUAGGGAAACUUACGCUAAUACCGCAUACGACCUACGGGUGAAAGCAGGGGAUCUUCGGACCUUGCGCGAUUGAAUGAGCCGAUGUCGGAUUAGCUAGUUGGCGGGGUAAAGGCCCACCAAGGCGACGAUCCGUAGCUGGUCUGAGAGGAUGAUCAGCCACACUGGAACUGAGACACGGUCCAGACUCCUACGUGAGGCAGCAGUGGGGAAUAUUGGACAAUGGGCGCAAGCCUGAUCCAGCCAUACCGCGUGGGUGAAGAAGGCCUUCGGGUUGUAAAGCCCUUUUGUUGGGAAAGAAAAGCAGCAGGUUACUAUCCCGCUGUUCUGACGGUACCCAAAGAAUAAGCACCGGCUAACUUCGUG
rnacentral:rRNA from 1 species